AGCAGCCGCGGUAAUUCCAGCUCCAAUAGCGUAUAUUAAAGUUGUUGCAGUUAAAAAGCUCGUAGUUGAAUUUCGGGGUUAGUAGGUUGGUCAUGCCUCUGGUAUGUACUGGUCUCACUGAUUCCUCCUUCCUGAUGAGCCGUAAUGCCAUUAAUUUGGUGUUGCGGGGAAUUUGGACUGUUACUUUGAAAAAAUUAGAGUGUUUAAAGCAAGCUAACGCUUGAAUACAUUAGCAUGGAAUAAUGAAAUAGGACGUUCGAUCCUAUUUUGUUGGUUUCUAGGAUUGACGUAAUGAUUAAUAGGGAUAGUUGGGGGCAUUAGUAUUCAAUUGUCAGAGGUGAAAUUCUUGGAUUUAUUGAAGACUAACUACUGCGAAAGCAUUUGCCAAGGAUGCUUUCAUUAAUCAAGAACGAAAGUUAGGGGAUCGAAGACGAUCAGAUACCGUCGUAGUCUUAACCAUAAACUAUGCCGACUAGGGAUCGGAUGAUGUUAAUUUUUAAUGA
rnacentral:rRNA from 1 species